rnacentral:rRNA from 1 species
AUCGGGGGCACGAUUGCCGCGUGAGGAUGACGGCCCUAUGGGUUGUAAACUUCUUUUGUACGGGCAUAUAUAAACCUCUGGUCGUGUACCAGAGCUGAUGGUACCGUAAGAAUAAGCAUCGGCUAACUCCGUGCCAGCAGCCGCGGUAAUACGGAGGAUGCAAGCGUUAUCCGGAUUCAUUGGGUUUAAAGGGUGCGCAGGCGGAGUGAUAAGUCAGUGGUGAAAGCCUACAGCUUAACUGUAGAACUGCCAUUGAUACUGUCAUUCUUGAGUAUUGUUGAGGUAGGCGGAAUGUGUCAUGUAGCGGUGAAAUGCUUAGAUAUGACACAGAACACCGAUCGCGAAGGCAGCUUACCAAGCAAUAACUGACGCUCAUGCACGAAAGCGUGGGGAUCAAACAGGAUUAGAUACCCUGGUAGUCCACGCCGUAAACGAUGAUCACUCGAUGUUGGCGAUACACAGUCAGCGUCUUAGGGAAACUAUUAAGUGAUCCACCUGGGGAGUACGGUCGCAAGAUUGAAACUCAAAGGAAUUGACGGGGGCCCGCACAAGCGGAGGAGCAUGUGGUUUAAUUCGAUGAUACGCGAGGAACCUUACCUGGGCUCGAACGUGGAAUGACAGUCGCGGAAACGUGAUCUUCUUCGGACAUUCUACGAGGUGCUGCAUGGUUGUCGUCAGCUCGUGCCGUGAGGUGUCGGGUUAAGUCCCAUAACGAGCGCAACCCCUAUCUUUAGUUGCCAUCAGGUAAUGCUGGGGACUCUAAAGAAACUGCCUACGCAAGUAGUGAGGAAGGCGGGGGAUGACGUCAAAUCAGCACGGCCCUUACGUCCAGGGCUACACACGUGCUACAAUGGCCGGUACAGAGGGCAGCUACCUGGUGACAGGAUGCAAAUCUCCAAAGCCGGUCUCAGUUCGGAUCGAAUCUGAAACUCGACUUCGUGAAGUUGGAUUCGCUAGUAAUCGCGCAUCAGCCAUGGCGCGGUGAAUACGUUCCCGGGCCUUGUACACACCGCCAUACGGCAUAUGA